rnacentral:rRNA from 1 species
UACGAAGGGUGCUAGCGUUAUUCGGAAUCAUUGGGCGUAAAGGGUGCGCAGGCGGUUUGUUAAGUCAGUUGUUAAAUUCUUCGGCCUAACCGAAAGUCAGCAGCAGAUACUGGCAAGCUUGAGUAUGGAAGAGAGAAGUGGAAUUCUCGGAGUAGCGGUAAAAUGCGUAGAUCUCGAGAGGAACACCAAUGGCGAAGGCAGCUUCUUGGUCCAUAACUGACGCUCAUGCACGAAAGCGUGGGGAGCAAACAGG